CAUGUCUCUUUGCAUAUCUCCCCCAUACCUGUUUGUAUAAAGUGCAAUUAAAAACACUAAUAAGACAGCUUUUAAAUAUACAAAGAUAUCUUCACUGAAUUAAAGUACUUU